GGAGUUGUGGCUCAGUGGUAGAGCGCUCGCCUAGCAUGUGUGAGAUCCUGGGUAUAAUCCUCAGCACCACAUAAAAAUAAAGGUAUUGUGUGCAACUACAACUAAUAAAUAAAUAAAUGUUUUUUUGUUUUGUUUUAAAUCUUUACCAGGGCUGGGGAUGUAGCUCAGUGCUGGAGGGCUUGAGUUCAAUCCCAACUACUGCA
rnacentral:tRNA from 1 species